rnacentral:rRNA from 1 species
CCUACGGGUGGCAGCAGUGGGGAAUAUUGGGCAAUGGGCGAAAGCCUGACCCAGCAACGCCGCGUGAAGGAAGAAGGCUUUCGGGUUGUUAACUUCUUUUGACAGGGAAGAGCAGAAGACGGUACCUGUCGAAUAAGCCACGGCUAACUACGUGCCAGCAGCCGCGGUAAUACGUAGGCGGCAAUCGUUGUCCGGAUUUACUGGGUGUAAAGGGCGUGUAGCCGGGCUGACAAGUCAGAUGUGAAAUCCGGGGGCUCAACCCCCGAACUGCAGUUGAAACUGUUGGUCUUGAGUAUCGGAGAGGCAGGCGGAAUGCCUGGUGUAGCGGUGAAAUGCGUAGAUAUUAGGAGGAACACCAGUGGCGAAGGCAGCCUGCUGGACGACAACUGACGGUGAGGCGCGAAAGCGUGGGGAGCGAACAGGAUUAGAUACCCCUGUAGUC